UUAGAGAUGAGUUAAUGCAGCGCUUGAGGUGAAGUUCUGUUAUACACUCUGACUGUGGCUAUGUGGAAGUCAGUGCAUCACAGAACUUUGUCUCGAGAGCUUGCCAGCAUCCAGCAUGCAG
rnacentral:pre_miRNA from 11 species